UGGAGAUCGGAUUUCUAGGAGUGAUAUCUUCCCCCGUCUGUGCCCCAGGAAGGGGCUGAAUUUACCCCAGCGGGGGGCUAAGGAGAGACAGGAAUAAGCUGAGGGGCAGCAGAUAUGAAGGGGUAGGAGACUGAGGGGUAAGUGGGACAGAAGGAGACAUGGGAGACCCAGGAGGCGCCGCUGUUCUGCUCCGGUUCCUCAGGAUCCAGGGAUUUCUCUGCCUUUUCCUCCUGCCCCAGACAGGUUCAGUUCUGGAGGUGACUGCUCCGUCCCCCCACGUUGCCCAGAAAGGAUCCGACACCCUGAUUCCCUGCACAUUCCGUAUUGAUCCAUUCCCUGCGGAUCCCAAACUCUUGGCCAUAUACUGGGAUUUCAAUGGAAGGAGAAUCCUGAUGUAUGACAAUGUAGUGAGCACAACGGUUCCCCGAUUCUCCUUGGACCCCAAUUCAGCGCCACGGGGAGAGGCCUCUCUGUCUGUCUCUAAUGCUCAGAUAUCUGAUGGGGGGGCCUACUCCUGCUCCAUCACUUACGGCACCGAGUGGCAACAGAAGGAAAUCAUAGUGGAAAUUCAAGCCCCCCCACAGAUCACAAUCACUAAUAGAGUCAUUACUGAGAAUAAGGAGAGCGCCCUGAGUGCCUCCAUCAUUGGCUUCUACCCCCAGGAUCUUGAUGUUACAUGGCUGAGAGAUGGGGCGAUAUUGUCUGGGGUUACUGUGAAUAAGCCCCAGAGAGACCCAGAUGGCACCCACAGUACAACCAGCACAGUGACCAUUGUACCCACCGAGGGGAACAGGAACCAGAGCUUCUCUAUCCGGGUCCAACAUGAGUCUCUCUCUGUCCCAUUACAGGAGAAUUUCCAGCUUCUCUAUGCAGCCGCCCCCAUGAUGAAUAUCAGCCACGGGCUAUUUUAUGUGAAUGAGGAGCAGACCCUGAUGUGCCGAGUGUGGGGGUAUUACCCAGAAGCCAUUGCUGUGAGUUGGUUCCUGAAUGGAUCUCGGGUGGAACCCUCAGAGAUAAAGAGAAUUAACAGUUCUGCUCUGGAGUUGCCCUACCGGUUCCUCCCAACAGCUGAGAGUCAGGGGAUGGAGAUCUCUUGUGUGGUGGAACAUCGGGCCCUGACGGAACCUCUUGUGCAGUCACUGAAGGUAGAACUGACAGAUGCUGAAUGGAGUCUCACAAAACGAAUAGUAGUCGGAAUUAUUAUUAUUAUUUCACUUGUGGCCACUCUUUGCUUGGGUUUUGUGAUUUGGAAAAGACGUUGUUAAGCCACAGGGAAUAG